CCUUAAAAAAACCUUAGGUUUCCGUAUCCAACGUUUGACUAUCCAUCUUAUAUGAAAUUUUUUUAUAAUUAGUAUUUUUAUUAUUGUUAGAUGAUAAAACAUGAUUAAUACUUUAUGCGUGACUUAUCUUUUCAAUUUUUUCAUUAUUUUUUAAAUAAGACGGACGGUCCAACAUUGGACACAGAAAUCCAAGGUUUAUCUUUUU
rfam:Oryza sativa Japonica Group DNA, chromosome 8, cultivar: Nipponbare, complete sequence.